rnacentral:rRNA from 1 species
AGUGAACGCUGGCGGUAGGCCUAACACAUGCAAGUCGAACGGCAGCACAGUAAGAGCUUCCUCUUACGGGUGGCGAGUGGCGGACGGGUGAGGAAUACAUCGGAAUCUACUUUUUCGUGGGGGAUAACGUAGGGAAACUUACGCUAAUACCGCAUACGACCUACGGGUGAAAGCAGGGGAUCUUCGGACCUUGCGCGAUUGAAUGAGCCGAUGUCGGAUUAGCUAGAUGGCGGGGUAAAGGCCCACCAAGGCGACGAUCCGUAGCUGGUCUGAGAGGAUGAUCAGCCACACUGGAACUGAGACACGGUCCAGACUCCUACGGGAGGCAGCAGUGGGGAAUAUUGGACAAUGGGCGCAAGCCUGAUCCAGCCAUACCGCGUGGGUGAAGAAGGCCUUCGGGUUGUAAAGCCCUUUUGUUGGGAAAGAAAAGCAGCAGGUUAAUACCCCGCUGUUCUGACGGUACCCAAAGAAUAAGCACCGGCUAACUUCG